rnacentral:rRNA from 1 species
GAUGAACGCCGGCGGCGUGCCUAAUACAUGCAAGUCGAGCGAACGGACGAGAAGCUUGCUUCUCUGAUGUUAGCGGCGGACGGGUGAGUAACACGUGGGUAACCUACCUAUAAGACUGGGAUAACUUCGGGAAACCGGAGCUAAUACCGGAUAAUAUUUUGAACCGCAUGGUUCAAUAGUGAAAGACGGUCUUGCUGUCACUUAUAGAUGGAUCCGCGCUGCAUUAGCUAGUUGGUAAGGUAACGGCUUACCAAGGCAACGAUGCAUAGCCGACCUGAGAGGGUGAUCGGCCACACUGGAACUGAGACACGGUCCAGACUCCUACGGGAGGCAGCAGUAGGGAAUCUUCCGCAAUGGGCGAAAGCCUGACGGAGCAACGCCGCGUGAGUGAUGAAGGUCUUCGGAUCGUAAAACUCUGUUAUUAGGGAAGAACAUAUGUGUAAGUAACUGUGCACAUCUUGACGGUACCUAAUCAGAAAGCCACGGCUAACUACGUG